AAACUAGGAUUAGAUACCCUAUUAUUUUAGCUAUAUGUUGGUAGUAAAUAUAAUUUAUGAAAUCAUAAGAUUUUGGCGGUAUUUUAAGCUUAUUAGAGGAAUUUGCCCUAUAAUGGAUAUAACGCCUGAAUCUUACUUAAUUUUGUAAUUAAAAUUCAGUUUGUAUACCACUAUAUUUAGAUAUAUUGAAUAAUUAUAUUUUAGAUUUUUUUGUACAAAAAAUAUAUUAAGUCAAGGUGCAACAAAUAAUUAUGAAUGAGGUGAAUUACAUUAAUUUUAAUGUAAAUUAUUUUAAAUGAAAAAAUUUUUUUAGGAUUUAAUAGUAAAAUGUUAAUAUUAUGAAUAUUUGAAUAGAGCUCUAAAAUAUGCACAUAUCGCCCGUCGCUCUCAGGGGUGAGAUAAGUCGUAACAUAG
rnacentral:rRNA from 1 species